CCUACGGGAGACAGCAGUGAGGAAUAUUGGUCAAUGGACGAGAGUCUGAACCAGCCAAGUAGCGUGAAGGAUGACUGCCCUAUGGGUUGUAAACUUCUUUUAUAAGGGAAUAAAAUGUGGCACGUGUGGGAUUUUGUAUGUACCAUAUGAAGAAGGAUCGGCUAACUCCGUGCCAGCAGCCGCGGUAAUACGGAGGAUCCGAGCGUUAUCCGGAUUUAUUGGGUUGAAAGGGAGCGUAGGUGGCUUGUUAAGUCAGUUGUGAAAGUUUGCGGCUCAACCGUAAAAUUGCAGUUGAUACUGGCAGUCUUGCGUCCAGUAGAGGUCGGCUGCAUUCGUGGUGUAGCGG
rnacentral:rRNA from 1 species